AAUUGCAGAAAGGGUUUUAAAGUUGUGUUAAGGAAAGGAGCGAAAAUGUCAUUUUCCCCAAAUUUUUCCCUUUCCCCUCACAAACGCAUCUUCAGAAACCCUCGCUUUCUUCACUGCAUCGCAACGCAAUCGCAAGGUCCACGAUUUCCCCUUCUUUGGCCUCUGCAUUGCGAAAUAGGGUAGUUUUCCCUUUGAUUGCGAAGCUAAGCAUUGCAAAACACUCCUCCCCUGCAAUUGCUAAUCUAUAUUUGACGGCGAUUGUGGGGGUGAUUGCAAUAGUGAAUCUGGCAAUGAUUGCAGCGGUGAUUGCAAAGCGCAUCCUGAGAUUGCGAAGCGUCCCGAUUUUGUGUCCAUUCGAGCCAUUCCAACUGCAUUGGUGACUAUACCUGAUGUUGAAGGUGAUCAUGUUGGUAGGAGUUUUGGGUGGAGGUGAAGCUUCUUAGGUGGAACUGAAAUCCUUCAACCUUUGGUGAAGCUUUAGGAAAUUGAAUCUUUGUUGAAGCUUCUUGGCUGGUGUUGUGAUUGGAACAAAUGGUUCUUUGAAUCAUUGGGGUGAAGCAAAGGCUUUUGGAAUCAAUUGGUCUUUCCAACUACACGAAAUAUGAUUUGGCUAUUUGGAUUGAUUUUGAAAUAGGAUCGAGAGGGGUUAGAGCUGAUGCUGAGAAUCAUAUCCCAGAAACAUGUAAUGCUACGAUAAACCAGCACAUAUCAAACAAGGCAAGGUCAAUUAACAAAAAACUUCGAGCAUGAUCUUUUAGUUGAAUUCUUAGGAAAGGUAAAUCUUCCUUUAUUUGACUUUUUACUCGUGUGUUUGCAAUGGUAAAAAAUGUUUGUAUGUUGUGUUUAAUAUCUACUAUUUUCCAGUGUGCACUUGAUCAUACACUUUUGAGUUGUGAUGCAUCAAUUUGAGGAUAGUCUGUGUUUUUUUAUUGUCAUGGCAAUGCUUGAUUUGUUUGCGCUUUUCUAUAAGUCAAUUGUGGUGGUAAAUUCUAGAUUCAAUUAUGCAUAUUUUCUUAUGCAUCGGCUAAGCGCACGAAAGUUGUUUUAAAUAUUUUAUUUUGUUCAUAUAAUGUGUGGGCUUAAUCAAGAAGCAACCAUGCGUCCCCAAUUGACCGACACAAAGAGUCUUUGCAUCCCUGAAAUUAGCGUUGCACCCCUAUCGUCGCUAGACCGACGCCAACUUGCUAUUGGAGUCGGUUUUGCCCCAGUUACGUCUUGUUUUGGCCAACACUAUAUGGCUGCAUUCUUGUAGUGAUUAGUUAAAAUUUUCAUAAUUUCUUUCACUAGAAAACAAUUUCAAUGUAAUAAAUAACAAAAUAUAAGUAAUUGAAG